UGCUCAUCAUUCUCACGGUAGCGAUAAACUUGGCGUUCCACUGGAAGAGCACGACGAUUCCCUCGUUAGAUACUCUCAUACAGAGAUUGAAUACGAUAAGUAUUUACGAGAGAAUGGUUAGCAAAACACAGGGUUGUAUAAGUAGGUAUGUGAAAGAUUGGGAAUGCUGGACCACAAAUAUUGGAAAGGAACAGGACAGCAACGCUAACAAUGAGGAAACGGAUAGGAAUAAAUAGCUUAAAGGGCACCACUUUUGUGUGAC